CAUUGCUAAAUUGACUUGCCAAUCUUCAUGCUACUUCCGACACUACAUAAGAGAUAGCAGCCAGAUAAGGAGGUGAAGGAGGCUAUUCAGGUGCUAUUUGGGGCUCAAGAAGGAUGACAUUUCUCCCCUCUGCCAUUAAGAGAGCAAGGCUGUGACAAGGACCCUGUAUCUAAUUGUAGUCUCAUUUAAUGGUGUGUGUAUAUAUGUAUGUGGAAACAUCCUCCAUGCACCCAAAUGGGAAGCUGAAUGAAUUUUUUUACCCAAUGUAAUUAUUGGCUCUUAAGGUGUCCUAGGAAUACACACACACACACACACACAUAUAUACAUAUAUAUACACACACAUAUACAUAAUGUUUCCAGGACCUUCUCACAUAAUAUCUCAUCUUUGAUGUACUUUGCAUAUUGAUUUCUAUGAGGGGCCAUCACACGAUGAAUGGUUUGAUUCAUGUGUAACCUGUAGGAACUUGUAGGAAAAGGAUCUGCAAACAAUAUUUUUGUAAGAUGGGUGGGAAUUGACUCCACUCAUCUUUAAUUUCUCCAUGUGUAUCAAAACCACAGUAUUCAAUAUGUGAUGGUAGUUUGUUGGCAUUUCACCAUCUAUUAAUAGAUUGUGAGUUUCCCAUUGAAAGAAACAUAUUAACAGAACAUGGUGUUUCCAUGGCCUGAAGUAGUUUAGCAGAUUGUGGGUUCCCAUUGAAAGAAAUUGAUUAAAGACCAUACAUUUCUCUACAUUUACUCUCUUUUGUUUAACCUACAUUUAUUUUUAAAGGUGUGUGUGUGUGUGUGUAUACAUAUAUAUAUAAUCUCAAUUUCUCCAUGAUUGUAGGGUUUUAAAAAUAGUGAAGAUGGACCUGGCUGGGAAUAGUGAAGAUGGACAUGGCUGGGAUGGAGGGUCACUUCGGCAAAUACCUACCUAGAUGCUUUCAAACCACAAGCUCAAGUAAAUUAAGGUCUUCUGAAAAUCCUGGUGAAAUGUGGCUAUUUUGGAGAAUCUGCUUCUCACAGUCAGCUCCCCCAUUUUUACUGGAAGAAGUUGCUAUUUUUCUUGCAAGUUAAUAACACCAUCCUCUCAUAUCUAAGUAGACAUGUAACUAAGUAGACUCAGGACCUCAUCAGAUGGGGUGAAUUUAGUGAAUCUAGAAUGCUUUCACCUCUUCUAGAGAAUGGAGCCCCACACUUCAACUUCAACUGUGGUGAAAGCUUCACUGGGUGCUUUCCUCUGAAUACAGGAGACUUCCUAUGUUGUCCUGGCUUCAAUGGAGACAGCAUGGGGUCUGAUGUGAUGGGGAAAGCAUUGCCGAGAAGGAGUUGUGCAUGUGGUGACAGAUUUACCCACUGCCCUUCUCUUUCCUCCCAGAUGUCCCAAGAAGCAGGACACUUUGGCCCUAAGUAAAUCUCAUUUCCAGACAGAUGUCUGAUUUUGAAGCUUUGGGCUUUCCUGACAAUUCUGUAUUAUUCGAAACCUUAUGUUAAAGUUUUGCACUUAUCCUAUUCCCUUGUCCUAUUGUUUAAAGCCUGACCACAUUUACAGUAGCUUACAGCCAUUGGUUGAUUAGCGCUAUUUUAAUUGAGUUUUAUAUGUCUAAAUGUUUUAUCCAGUUGUAUUUUAUAUUGUGUUUUAUUUUGUGUUCUAUUUCUCAGCACCUUGUGCUGUGUGUAAGCCGCCCCAGGUCCUUUCGGGGAGAUAGUGGCUGGAUAUAAAAAUAAAGAUGAUGAUGAUGAUGAUGA